rnacentral:rRNA from 1 species
AUGCUGGUGGAGCGGGAGGCCUCGUCGACGAUCUCGAUUCGUCCACUCCAGCUGCUACAUCUCCUCACCAUGUUGCUCGCUGAAUCGGCUCCCUCAUGGAACCAAGUCGAGGAUGUGCUACCUAUGGUUGUCAUCAUGGUCCGUAGUACCGGACUGCAGCAUGUUCUACGGCUGAUGCAUGGGCGUGUGGCUGCCCCCGCACGAGAGCUGCUGGAUGGAGCUCCUCAACGGUGCGACGAGGAGGGGAGAGGUGGAGGGAGCAGACGACGGCCGUCGUCUGCGCGGCCGACACUGACACCAGGAGAUGACUUUGUCGUAGAUGACGUGCGAAAAGGGGAUGGUGUCCACAUUGAAUCACAGAGAGUUCAUGAGGAUUUCUUGCUAGCAUCUAGAGUUGGAUGCCCUCAGGAAGACUACCGAACUCAAUGGGCGCGGAGGCGGCAACCUAGGGCGAGGGCGUCGGUGUGUUGA